rnacentral:rRNA from 1 species
GAUGAACGCUGGCGGCGUGCCUAAUACAUGCAAGUCGAGCGAACAGACGAGGAGCUUGCUCCUCUGACGUUAGCGGCGGACGGGUGAGUAACACGUGGAUAACCUACCUAUAAGACUGGGAUAACUUCGGGAAACCGGAGCUAAUACCGGAUAAUAUAUUGAACCGCAUGGUUCAAUAGUGAAAGACGGUUUUGCUGUCACUUAUAGAUGGAUCCGCGCCGCAUUAGCUAGUUGGUAAGGUAACGGCUUACCAAGGCAACGAUGCGUAGCCGACCUGAGAGGGCGAUCGGCCACACGGGAACUGAGGCACGGCCCAGACUCCUACGGGGGGCAGCAGUAGGGAAUCUUCCGCAAUGGGCGAAUGCUUGACGGAGCAACGCCGCGUGAGGGAUGAAGGUCUUCGGAUCGUAAAACUCUGUUAUUAGGGAAGAACAAAUGUGUAAGUACCUAUGCACGUCUUGACGGUACCUAAUCAGAAAGCCACGGCUAACUCCGUG